UGCCUAAGCAAGGGUAUGAUAUUCCCUCUGGUACUGGUCUGAGUCAAGAGCAACAAGCACAUAGACUGCGUAGAUGAUGCCAGGGACAUAGCCAAGGAUGGUGAGAAGCAAGCAGAUGCAGAACUCCAUCUCAUCCGAAGCGGAGGAAGACGCCGAGGGGCGGGAGGAUGAUGGCGAGCAGGAUCUCGAGGAACGUGCAGCACCGGCCGGACGCCAUGGGUGGAGGAUCUCGGAUCGGAUCCGGGGGGAUCAGAGGCGAGCGGGAUC
rnacentral:sRNA from 1 species